UCCUACGGGAGGCAGCAGUGAGGAAUAUUGCGCAAUGGGGGCAACCCUGACGCAGCGACGCCGCGUGAGUGAGGAAGGCCUUCGGGUCGUAAAGCUCUGUCAGCAGGGAAGAAGUGCAUGGCGGCUAAUAUCCGUUGUGUUUGACGGUACCUGCAAAGGAAGCACCGGCUAACUCCGUGCCAGCAGCCGCGGUAAUACGGAGGGUGCGAGCGUUGUUCGGAAUCACUGGGCGUAAAGGGCGCGCAGGCGGUUUUAUAAGUCAGAUGUGAAAGCCCACGGCUUAACUGUGGAAGAGCAUUUGAAACUGUGAGACUUGAGUACCAGAGGGGAAGGUGGAAUUCCCGGUGUAGAGGUGAAAUUCGUAGAUAUCGGGAGGAAUACCGGUGGCGAAGGCGACCUUCUGGCUGGAUACUGACGCUGAGGCGCGAAAGCGUGGGGAGCAAACAGGAUUAGAUACCCCUGUAGUCGA
rnacentral:rRNA from 1 species